rfam:Cavia porcellus supercont2_20 genomic scaffold, whole genome shotgun sequence.
GGGUAUUUAGCUUAGUGGCAUAAGUGCCUGCCUUGUAAGCAGGUAGUCGUGAGUUCGAUCCCCGGUACCGA